AUGCGUGAUGGGUUGCUGCUCAUCCGCGAUGUUGAGGGACCAAAGGGGACCGGAAGUGUGGAGACGAGGCUCAAAGCAAUGGAGCAACAAGUUUUCAAGUGCCAGGGGAUGGUAGAACGUGGACUCAAUUCCAACCACAUGAUGAUCGCGGAGUUCACCAACAACCACAAGAUGGAUGCCCAGAACAUUGGGGAUACCAUCUUCAAGCUUCACGAGAAGAUCGAGCACCUCCAAGCCCAAAUCUAUGACUUGCAGAACCAAAACUGUGAGUAUGAGUAUAGAUUCAAGAGGAUGAGUUUGGUUGUAGAUUUGAGGAUCCCGGAGACUCGAUCAUCCUUCUAUGAUGGUGAACCUAGGCCUUGGAAGAUGGCCGACAAGCCCACAUCAUCAACAACUCCACCACCUUCUUCUUCAACAAAGGAGACAUAA
rnacentral:rRNA from 1 species